UACGUAGGGGGCAAGCGUUGUCCGGAAUUAUUGGGCGUAAAGGGCUCGUAGGCGGUUUGUCGCGUCGGGAGUGAAACCCUACAGCUUAACUGUGGGCUUGCUUUCGAUACGGGCAGACUUGAGGCAUGCAGGGGAGAACGGAAUUCCUGGUGUAGCGGUGAAAUGCGCAGAUAUCAGGAGGAACACCGGUGGCGAAGGCGGUUCUCUGGGCAUGUUCUGACGCCGAGGAGCGAAAGUGUGGGGAGCGAACAGG
rnacentral:rRNA from 1 species